rnacentral:rRNA from 1 species
GCAGACGGGUGAGUAACGCGUGGGAACAUACCUUUUGGUUCGGAACAAUCACAGGGAAACUUGUGCUAAUACCGGAUAAGCCCUUACGGGGAAAGAUUUAUCGCCGAAAGAUUGGCCCGCGUCUGAUUAGCUAGUUGGUGAGGUAACGGCUCACCAAGGCGACGAUCAGUAGCUGGUCUGAGAGGAUGAUCAGCCACAUUGGGACUGAGACACGGUCCAGACUCCUACGGGAGGCAGCAGUGGGGAAUAUUGGACAAUGGGCGCAAGCCUGAUCCAGCCAUGCCGCGUGAGUGAUGAAGGCCCUAGGGUUGUAAAGCUCUUUUGUGCGGGAAGAUAAUGACGGUACCGCAAGAAUAAGCCCCGGCUAACUUCGUGCCAGCAGCCGCGGUAAUACGAAGGGGGCUAGCGUUGCUCGGAAUCACUGGGCGUAAAGGGUGCGUAGGCGGGUCUUUAAGUCAGGGGUGAAAUCCUGGAGCUCAACUCCAGAACUGCCUUUGAUACUGAGGAUCUUGAGUUCGGGAGAGGUGAGUGGAACUGCGAGUGUAGAGGUGAAAU